rnacentral:rRNA from 1 species
GACGAACGCUGGCGGCGUGCUUAACACAUGCAAGUCGAACGGAAAGGCCCUGCUUUUGUGGGGUGCUCGAGUGGCGAACGGGUGAGUAACACGUGAGUAACCUGCCCUUGACUUUGGGAUAACUUCAGGAAACUGGGGCUAAUACCGGAUAGGAGCUCCUGCUGCAUGGUGGGGGUUGGAAAGUUUCGGCGGUUGGGGAUGGACUCGCGGCUUAUCAGCUUGUUGGUGGGGUAGUGGCUUACCAAGGCUUUGACGGGUAGCCGGCCUGAGAGGGUGACCGGCCACAAUGGGAAUGAGAUACCGCCCAGACUCCUACGGGAGGCAGCAGUGGGGAAUAUUGCACAAUGGGCGGAAGCCUGAUGCAGCAACGCCGCGUGCGGGAUGACGGCCUUCGGGUUGUAAACCGCUUUCGCCUGUGACGAAGCGUGAGUGACGGUAAUGGGUAAAGAAGCACCGGCUAACUACGUG